GCCGAGAUGAUGGAACUGGUAGACAUGCUGGACUCAAAAUCCAGUACCCUUAAAAGUGUGCGGGUUCGAGUCCCGCUCUCGGUA
rnacentral:tRNA from 1 species